rnacentral:rRNA from 1 species
GCUCCCAGCCAUGCUACCCUGAACACACUCGAUCUCGUCUGAUCUCAGAAGCUAAGCAGGGUCAGGCCUGGUUAGUACUUGUAGCACAGAAACAACAGGAUUUUAGAGACAUGGGGGACAGGGGUUGCAGGUA